rnacentral:sRNA from 1 species
CGCGAGGCCAUCGAUUGGCUCGCUAAGCGGGCGCCGGGUCAGGCAUCCGGCGACCCUUGUCAUCACGUUGCUCCAAGGAGGAUGUGGUCAUGAGGA